UUUUUUGGGACGUUCAUCUUUCCUUCUUUGUAACCACACAAAACAUGACGACGGUCGUCUGUGGUUUUUGCAAUAUUAUGUUUGUUGUUUAUGGGGUGAACUAUAGGGAUAAGAUGUUACCUGUGUUUAAAGUGUAUACUAUGAUAGGUACUCUAUCACAGAGGUCGAGGUUAAAGAAAUAGCAUGUUUGGUUUGUACUAGGUAAAGCAUCGUCAUAGACAACAUUAAGUAGGUGUGGCUCGGCGAGUAUGACGCUACCUCCAGGUUCGAUCCAGGUAUUGGGCGAGGGCGUGUCUGCCACUGUCAUUAGUGCUGAAAAGAGCGAAACGCAAGAUUGACAUCGGGCGGAGAAGGUUGAUAUCAGGUUAAAUCGAGUGAUCAAUGGUCAUAUCAUUGAAGACUUUUGGUUAUUACAGAAGAUGAAAGUUGGAUUCGAAUGUGUGAAUGAUCAAAACAAGCCAACAAACAAAUGACAAAAGACUGGAGAAUAAAUUUUGUUCUAGAAGCACAUUGCUAAUUAAACACUUUACCUGAAUAUUUUCUAUUAUAUCUGUGUUUAUAUAUAAACUAAUUUAAAAUAAUUUCUUGAUAAACCACAGAUAAAUAUGGUCGGAACGUCGUUCAGCAAAUAGAAUUGUAUUCAGCACAUUUAGACCAUACGCUAGCAAGAUUUAAUUAACAUCUCGAGCCGGGAAUUAUUAGAUAUGUUAUCGGGACAAGUGAUGAUGAUUGGUUUCCAUGAACUCGAAACGUCGCGUGGUAAUAAACAGUAGAGACUUUUGGCAAGCGUAAAUUCAUGGUCCGUAUCGCGUAUCCAUAUCGAUUUUGAGUGUGAUGUCAUCAAUGUGUGUGUAUUUCUCAUACGUGAUACGGCACACGGAUACGGCAGCACGUAUCGAACAGCUUUCAUACGGAAAAGGUCCGUAUAAUAUCAAAUGUCUGUUUACUGUCUUUUUUUCCUAUUUUUAGGCGCCGAAAUGUUGUGUCGUGGUGUUGUUAUGAAUCUA